rnacentral:rRNA from 1 species
CCUACGGGAGGCUGCAGUGAGGAAUAUUGGUCAAUGGACGAGAGUCUGAACCAGCCAAGUAGCGUGAAGGAUGACUGCCCUAUGGGUUGUAAACUUCUUUUAUAUGGGAAUAAAAUGUUCCACGUGUGGGAUUUUGUAUGUACCAUAUGAAUAAGGAUCGGCUAACUCCGUGCCAGCAGCCGCGGUAAUACGGAGGAUCCGAGCGUUAUCCGGAGUUAUUGGGUUUAAAGGGAGCGUAGGUGGAUUGUUAAGUCAGUUGUGAAAGUUUGCGGCUCAACCGUAAAAUUGCAGUUGAAACUGGCAGUCUUGAGUACAGUAGAGGUGGGCGGAAUUCGUGGUGUAGCGGUGAAAUGCUUAGAUAUCACGAAGAACUCCGAUGGCGAAGGCAGUUCACUGGACUGCAACUGACACUGAGGCUCGAAAGUGUGGGUAUCAAACAGGAUUAGAUACCCUUGUAGUC